UGCAAGGAGUUUCUGCCUGAGGUGAGUCAUCCAGGAAGUGAAUAAGGGCCUUACCAGCCAUGACUGAGCUCUGCGAACCUGUCCUGGAGGCCCUAGUGAAGAGACUCAUGCUCAGUGAAGAGGAGCUCUCUGGUCCCCCGCAAAUCAGAGUCUCCUGUACAGCUUAAAACAAGAAGUGCUAUUUCUUGAGAUUGGAGAGAUAGCUCAAUGAUGGGCCAGCUGUCGUCCUCCACUGGAAUACAAAUAGAGGAAUCAGAAGAUAAGGAGGGAGGCCCACAGACGGUGGGAGAAGGAAGACAGACUAAAUAAAUGCCUUGGAGGAAAGCCAA